AGUUAAUGAAAGACUUGUGCUUUGAGCUUCUAACAAAAUGUUAAUAUGUAGAGAAUCUUGUGAUUCAUGAUGCUUUGGUUCUCAACCAGGGUUAUCAAAUAAGCUAAAAGUAUCAGAAGAGGACAAAGAAAGUACGUAAAACAUGGAUAAAAGCAGAAACCGAGAAAAGAUAGCUUUGAUAUUUAAAGUGUUAGAUUAUGGCCUCUAUAUAAUGUCAUAUAUGCCAGAUCCCCCCCCAAAAUCACACCCUCAAAUUAUGAUCUUCAUUAUUCAAAAGAUGUUUGGCGUGUUGGUGGUACAGUGGUGAGCGUAGUUGCCUUCCAGAAGAUGGUUGGUGUAUAAUUACUAUAGAAUUUCUUGCUCUCUUGGGAGGUGGCUUAGUAGAAGGUUGAGUCAGGCAAGCUGGGGCUGUUUAUUCAGUGUGCUGUGCUGUGCUGUGCUGUGCUGUGCUGUGCUGUGCUGUGCUGUGCUGUGUCUGAAUGCCUGGGAGUUUGCGUUGUUAACCUUUCCAGGGUGCUAGAUCCCUUUGAGAUUAUGAUGGAAGCCAUGAAUCCUUUUCCCACACCUGUAUGCAAACAUGUGCCUGCCCAUUUACAGACCCAAAGAAGGACAUCCAUGUACCCCACGUUAAGAAGGCUGCCCUGGACUAAGCCCUCACUGUGACUCUGCUGUUCUUAAGCUUCCCAGGAAACACUGUUAUGUAAAAAGACGAGCCAUCCAGGUCAAAAAGAAGUCAUUGUGGUUGCUAGGUGGGGGUGCAAAGCCAAAGACAAAGGGUGGGGAAAAUACAUGACUAAUAAUAAAUAAAGAGCAUGGUUAAUACCAGAGUCUCCAAACUGAUAGCCCAGAAUCCCUCAACAUGUAGCCACGAGUAUUUGUAAAGUACGUUGUGAAUUCAGGUAGAGGGCCGAAGACUCAAUAUUAAGCAGUUGGGCAGAGUUUUCAUACAUAUAUUUGUCUCUGCCUUUUGCACAAUAUAAAACUAUGAAAUCUCUUUUCAUUUUUCUAUUGUGCACGCUACCACAUUAGGUAGGAAUCAAAAUCAUCUCAACUCCAGAAGUAUAAUUCAUAACAAUUAUAACAAAGCAGAAAAAUGAUUCUACAUUAGCAGAAGAAAUGUAGUAGGAAUAGAUUUAAAAUAGCAUGGUUGAGUACAAAAGAAACAUCGUUUUUUAAAAAAUGGCAGCCUUUAUCACUCAUCAGCUAAACUUAAAGUCAAUGCUGUGAGGCUGUUGCGGGAAAAAAAUAGUCAUGAUUCUUGGGUGUAUUAAAAGGAGUAUGACAUAGAAGGGUAAGAAAACAAGACGUAGUGUGUUUGUCAGACUCAUCAUUGUGUCCUGUUUGAGUCACACUUAAAAAAAGAAUUUGGACAAUUGUGAAAAGCUGAUACACAAGCAACAGAAAUUACACGCCCUUCCAGGAAAAGAUAAGGCAACUGAGGAUUUUAUUCCACACAAGGCUGGAGGAUUUUUUGCUAAUGGCCUUUAAGUAGUAACAGUCUGGUUUAUCCUUAUAUUCCUAGGGCCUUCCGCUCUGCCUGGUGCACAGUACUUGAGAUGAUCGUUGUGUUUAGUGAUAAUGAGUAAGGUUCCUGUGAGAGACUUAGCAGGAGUAAGUAGGUUCAAAUAAAACCAGCGAUAGUGUCAUGACAGACGGUAUAUAAUACAUGAAUUUGCUGGGUGAUUAAUACAUAAGGAUGACUGUCUCACUUGUGAGGAUGAUAUAAUACUUCAGCAGCUAACUGGGGGAAGCUACAAAAUCUUGGUUUGAUACCUCUUUCAGGAUGAAAGCAGAUAAGUCUGCUGGGGUGGUGGAAACAUUCAUUCAUUCAUUCUACAAACCCUGAGGGCCUACUUGGCUAGGUGCUCACGGUCUGGUAGAGGAGACAAAGAUACAAAAACAGAGUCACAGUGUGUAAUGAGUGCCAUGGGAGCAUAAAAACAGCAUGCGCAGGGCUUGUGACACUCAACCGCCACCCCGCGCAGCUUCCAAUGGAGGCAAAGUCACAAUUGACCCCAAUAGACAGGCUUGACAGAGUUAGUUGGAUGGGAGGCAGGUGGGGCAGCCUGUCCAGAGGCGCAGACCUGUGUGUGUGGGGAAGGGGUGAUGGGAGAUGCAGACUCGGCAGUGCUUGUUAACAGAGGUGUGAAUGCCGCGCCUUGCUUGCCUGAAGAUUUCCACCCAGGAUCCUGACAAAAGUCAGAUGUGCACUUCAGAAAGGCCAGGCGGGCUGCAGUGAAGAGAAUGACUCGAGGGGGUGCGGGUGUGGGACAGGCCAUCGAGGCAAGGAGGCCAAAUGGAAAGCUUUGGUCAGGACACAGGUGGUGAU
rnacentral:lncRNA from 1 species